GACGAACGCUGGCGGCGUGCCUAAUACAUGCAAGUCGAGCGAAGCAGCGGUUGAGUGAGAAACGCCUGGUUAACCUGCCCUUAAGUCUGGGAUACCAUUUGGAAACAGAUGCUAAUACCGGAUACUAAGGUAUUGACCUGCGUUGCAUUAGCUAGUUGGUAAGGUAACGGCUUACCAAGGCGAUGAUGCAUAGCCGAGUUGAGAGGAUGAUCAGCCACAUUGGGACUGAGACACGGCCCAAACUCCUACGGGAGGCAGCAGUAGGGAAUGUUGCACAAUGGACGAAAGUCUGAUGGAGCAACGCCGCGUGAUUGAAGAAGGUUUUCGGAUCGUAAAGCUCUGUGGGUGGUGAGGCGGUAAUCAACCAGGAAGUAACGGCUAACUACGUGCCAGCAGCCGCGGUAAUUC
rnacentral:rRNA from 1 species